UCAGGAAGUGACAUGUGCCUGCACACGGUCAAGGAUAUGAGAAAGUUGCUGUAAUCUAAUCUACAGUGUAAAAUGCCAGACUUUUGGAUUAAGAGGCUUCAUGGUAGAGCAGCUGUUAGCACUGAUGUCUUGCAGCAGGAAGGCAUUGGGUUUGAAUCCUGGCCUCAGGCCAUGAUGUUUGCAUAUAUUCCCUGUGCAUGGGUGGAUUCUGCCUUACCUUAACAUCACCAGAAAGUCUUAACACAGCUGUCCCAAGCCCAGUUAUGAUGACAUUCCUUCAGCUUCCGGACAAAACCUCACUUUGCAAAAGGAUUUGGGAUUUUCUAUAUAUCACACAGCAGGCAAUACAUUAAGAGUAGAAGUGCUGCCAGUAUGCUGAUGUGACCUAGAUCAAGCCAUCAUCCCAAGACGAGGAGUGGGAAUUCAACCAAGCACCAAUCAUCAGUUUCAGGCUUUUCAGUUCAUAAAUGCAUGUCUGAAAUUGCAUCCCUAUGACAACGUUCACAUGAGCAGGAUGAAGGAGCUGCUUGUCUUUGUCUGCCACACACUGAGCUGCCUCCAGUCCUCGUCGCUGUACCAGCAGAGCCUCACUGGAGCCUGGGAACCAGUAUGUGGACCCCUCUGAGGCCCCCUGCUGGUACGACACGGUGCCUCCACAAGACUCGUGGGCGCUUGCAGUGUGAUCAGGAGGUGAGCGGAUAUAAAUGGCUGCAUGCCACGGCCACUGAGAUUAUGAAAGGUUGAUCCUGCUAAAAGCUUCUAAUUUGUCACAGACUGAAUGGCAUUAGCAACCAGAAGAGCAUAGAUGGAGAAAAUAAAGAUGAAAGUCAUGAUGAAGUAACAACCAAAAUGAUCUUGCGUUUUAAAGUGAGGCUAUUAAAGUUUGGUAAAUUAGCUGUCGCUCAAACCAAAGGCAGAAACAACAAAUAAGAGUGGAUUCUAAAAUCUGUUUUCAUGACUAAAUUACAACCGAUUUCUUUACAGUGCACAUCCUAAUCUCAGUCACAUUAGUUGGUCGGGUCAUUAUUUAAGGUCAAAAAGGGAAAGU